GAGUAAAAAGCCUUCCACCAGAGGACGAAUCAAUAUAAGAGGCUGAUCCAACUGCAUAUGUCGCAGAAGGAAGUGGGAAAGUGGUUCCAAAAGGGAACACAGGAUACUGGAAAGGCGAAGGUGGAAAUUGCACAGCAGGUGAUGAUGACAAUACUGAACCCCUGAAAACAUCUGGAGUGAAGGGGGUGUGCCUGUGAACCAGUAACAGACAGUUGCCUUGAUGCCAACGGAACUGACUCUUCUUUCCCAUCCAAAUCCAUAGCUCCAGGACCUGCAUUCAGAUCUAGACCUUGCCGGCUCCGCUUUCUGUUGUGGUCUCCGACUCCAUUGCUUUUAACGUCAGGAACUGCAACCACAUAAGGCCUUGGAUAUUGAGAUGAUACAGCACCUACAUGUCCUAGUAACUGUGAAUUCACAGGUGGAGUAAAAAGCCUUCCACCAGAGGACGAAUCAAUAUAAGAGGCUGAUCCAACUGCAUAUGUCGCAGAAGGAAGUGGGAAAGUGGUUCCAAAAGGGAACACAGGAUACUGGAAAGGCGAAGGUGGAAAUUGCACAGCAGGUGAUGAUGACAAUACUGAACCCCUGAAAACAUCUGGAGUGAAGGGGGAACCAGCAGCAGCUGGACCUAACAUUCGUGGGGCACCAGGUGGGAUUAUUGGAAACGGCAGCUGCUCCCCACGAUCAGACAAAAUUGAUGG
rnacentral:lncRNA from 1 species